GAUGAACGCUAGCUACAGGCUUAACACAUGCAAGUCGAGGGGUAACGAGAGGAAAGCUUGCUUUCCUUGUCGACGACCGGCGCACGGGUGAGUAACGCGUAUCCAACCUGCCCCCAACUAGGGAAUAACCUUGCGAAAGUAAGACUAAUACCCUAUAAUUUCCUCAGAUGUCAUCUGACGAGGAAUAAAGAUUUAUCGGUUGUGGAUGGGGAUGCGUCUGAUUAGCUUGUUGGCGGGGUAACGGACCACCAAGGCAACGAUCAGUAGGGGUUCUGAGAGGAAGGUCCCCCACAUUGGAACUGAGACACGGUCCAAACUCCUACGGGAGGCAGCAGUGAGGGAUAUUGGUCAAUGGGCGGAAGCCUGAACCAGCCAAGUAGCGUGCAGGAUGACGGCCCUAUGGGUUGUAAACUGCUUUUAUACAGGAAUAAAGUUAGCCACGUGUGGUUAUUUGUAGGUACUGUAUGAAUAAGGACCGGCUAAUUCCGUGCCAGCCGCCGCGGUAA
rnacentral:rRNA from 1 species